rnacentral:rRNA from 1 species
UGGGGAAUAUUGCGCAAUGGGGGGAACCCUGACGCAGCCAUGCCGCGUGAAUGAAGAAGGCCUUCGGGUUGUAAAGUUCUUUCGGUAUUGAGGAAGGUUGAUGUGUUAAUAGCACAUCAAAUUGACGUUAAAUACAGAAGAAGCACCGGCUAACUCCGUGCCAGCAGCCGCGGUAAUACGGAGGGUGCGAGCGUUAAUCGGAAUAACUGGGCGUAAAGGGCACGCAGGCGGUUAUUUAAGUGAGGUGUGAAAGCCCUGGGCUUAACCUAGGAAUUGCAUUUCAGACUGGGUAACUAGAGUACUUUAGGGAGGGGUAGAAUUCCACGUGUAGCGGUGAAAUGCGUAGAGAUGUGGAGGAAUACCGAAGGCGAGGGCAGCCCCUUGGGAAUGUACUGACGCUCAUGUGCGAAAGCGUGGGGAGCAAACAGGAUUAGAUACCCUGGUAGUCCACGCUGUAAACGCUGUCGAUUUGGGGGUUGGGGUUUAACUCUGGCGCCCGUAGCUAACGUGAUAAAUCGACCGCCUGGGGAGUACGGCCGCAAGGUUA